AGAGUUUGAUCCUGGCUCAGGAUGAACGCUGGCGGCGUGCCUAACACAUGCAAGUCGAGCGAUUUCUUAAGGAGUACUUGUACUCCUUAAGAAAUAGCGGCGGACGGGUGAGUAACGCGUGGGCAACCUACCCUAAACAAUGGGAUAGCCCUUCGAAAGGAGGAGUAAUACCAUAUAACACAUUUUUAAGGCAUCUUAAAAAUGUCAAAGAUUUAUCGGUUUAGGAUGGGCCCGCGUCUGAUUAGCUAGUUGGUAAGGUAAAAGCUUACCAGGGCGACGAUCAGUAGCCGACCUGAGAGGGUGAUCGGCCACACUGGAACUGAGACACGGUCCAGACUCCUACGGGAGGCAGCAGUGGGGAAUAUUGCACAAUGGGGGAAACCCUGAUGCAGCAACGCCGCGUGAGCGAUGAAGGCCUUCGGGUCGUAAAGCUCUGUCCUAAGUGAAGAUAAUGACGGUAACUUAGGAGGAAGCCCCGGCUAACUACGUGCCAGCAGCCGCGGUAAUACGUAGGGGGCAAGCGUUAUCCGGAAUCAUUGGGCGUAAAGGGUGAGUAGGCGGCAAUACAAGUCAGAGGUGAAAGGCUACGGCUUAACCGUAGUAAGCCUUUGAAACUGUAUAGCUUGAGUAUGGGAGAGGAGAGUGGAAUUCCUAGUGUAGCGGUGAAAUGCGUAGAUAUUAGGAGGAACACCAGUGGCGA
rnacentral:rRNA from 1 species